GACGAACGCUGGCGGCGUGCUUAACACAUGCAAGUCGAACGGAGUGGCGAACGGGUGAGUAACACGUGGGUGACCUGCCCUGCACUUCGGGAUAAGCCCGGGAAACUGGGGCUAAUACCGGAUAGUGUGGGAUGGGAGGGGGGCCUAUGGGCUUGUGGGUGGGGUAAUGGCCCACCAAGGCGGCGCCGGGUAGCCGGCCUGGGAGGGGGGACGGCCACAUUGGGACUGAGUGACGGCCCAGGCUCCAACGGGGGGCAGCAGUGGGAAGUAUGGCACAAUGGGGGGGAGCCUGAUGCGGCGGCGCCGCGUGGGGUAUGACGGCCUUCGGGUUGUAAACGCCUUGCGCCAUCGACGCGGUAGUUGGAGAAGAAGCACCGGCUAACUCCGUGCCAGCAGCCGCGGUAAUUC
rnacentral:rRNA from 1 species